rnacentral:rRNA from 1 species
UACGGGGGGGCAAGCGUUGUUCGGAAUUACUGGGCGUAAAGGGCGCGUAGGCGGCCUGCUAAGUCGGAUGUGAAAUCCCUCGGCUCAACCGAGGAACUGCAUCCGAUACUGGCGGGCUUGAAUCCGGGAGAGGGAUGUGGGAAUUCCAGGUGUAGCGGUGAAAUGCGUAGAUAUCUGGAGGAACACCGGUGGCGAAGGCGGCAUCCUGGACCGGUAGUGACGCUGAGGCGCGAAAGCUAGGGGAG